AACAAGCCAGAAUAUAAAUAUACCUUUGUUUAAGACUCUCUGUUUGCAUGUAACGGAAACCAACCUGAAACGGCUUAACCAAAAGGGAAGAAUUUAUCAUAAGGAUGUAGGAACUUCUUACAAAUGCCCAGAGCAGGAAGACAGCUACCUCCUAGCAAAAGACUAGAACCAGGAGUUGGAAAACUUCCAGGAACCCAAAAGUCCCGUCAGCCCCGAGGGUGGGCCCGACCACACUGCGUCUUCUCUCUGCCUCCUCCCCUCCCAGCCCACGUCCCCACUAGGCAGAGCUCCUCAAGGGCACAGAUGGUGGUGUUCCUCUCUUACUCAUCUCUCCAUCUCCAGAGACAACACACAGCCAAGGUAAAAAAGAAAGGGAGGGAGGGAAAGAGAACAGAAUUCAAUUCUCUGGGACUUAAACACAUAUUCGCACAUCACGCCAUUAUUGUGAAGAUAUCACCCUCCGUUUAAAGCUUAGCUAAAAGCACCUUUCAUCGUGCAGUUUCAAGGCAGGUUGCACAGUACACUAAGUACCCCGGAAGGCAGGGGCCCACGUCAGAGCGAAGCCCCACACAUUGCUUUGUCUGUCCCGGACCAGCGUACUCGUUGGUAAGGGGAUUCUCUUCCCCAUGACCCACCUCCGACAGUGUAGUUUAUGCAGUUCCAGGCACAGAUCUUACCCCUCGCCUUGAAGCUGGGCAUGUGAAGUCACUCUUCACUUGCUCCUGGCCACAUGACCUCAGCCUGGCCAAUCAGAAGCCUUCCCUGAGAUUUUCUCCCCAGAAUUAGUGAAGAUGACUCCCUCUGCCUCCCGGGUCAGGCUGCUGUGUAUGAUCCCAGAAAUGUGUUCCCUUCGUCUGGAGAGAGCCCAUUCCAGCAGAAGCAAAUAAAGCCAAGAAAACAAAAGCA
rnacentral:lncRNA from 1 species